GAUGAACGCUGGCGGCGUGCCUAAUACAUGCAAGUCGAGCGAACGGACGAGAAGCUUGCUUCUCUGAUGUUAGCGGCGGACGGGUGAGUAACACGUGGAUAACCUACCUAUAAGACUGGGAUAACUUCGGGAAACCGUAGCUAAUACCGGAUAAUAUUUUGAACCGCAUGGUUCAAAAGUGAAAGACGGUCUUGCUGUCACUUAUAGAUGGAUCCGCGCUGCAUUAGCUAGUUGGUAAGGUAACGGCUUACCAAGGCAACGAUGCAUAGCCGACCUGAGAGGGUGAUCGGCCACACUGGAACUGAGACACGGUCCAGACUCCUACGGGAGGCAGCAGUAGGGAAUCUUGCGCAAUGGGCGAAAGCCUGACGGAGCAACGGCGCGUGAGUGAUGAAGGUCUUCGGAUCGUAAAACUCUGUUAUUAGGGAAGAACAUAUGUGUAAGUAACUGUGCACAUCUUGACGGUACCUAAUCAGAAAGCCACGGCUAACUACGUG
rnacentral:rRNA from 1 species